UAUUUCUAAUUCUAGUUAGGCAAACUUCAGUGUACCUAUCAAAGGCAGUUUUUUUAAAAAAAGAAAAAAACCCAUGAAGGCUCUAUACAGUUUCAGAGGUUUUAAAAAUAGUGAAUUAAAAUGUAUAAUUAAAGAAAAUAGGAAUGAAAAAGACCAGUUUUGGUUAUCCAGGCAACCUCCUCCCCUGGGCCUUUCAGGUACAGGUUUUAAUGCAUAGCAAAGUAUCAUUUUCUUUUUAUGGUAGUUUCUGAAAUUUUGGAUUCAGCAGUAGACCUUCCCUUUCAGCCAAAAUAGCAAACACUUAGGGGAAUAAGAAAAAGAAGCUUAUGUUUUCACAAUGCAAUUUUGUAUCGAGUUAUUUGGGGAAAAUAAAUAGAUAAAGUGAACUGUGAAAGAUCAUAUUUUAGAGGCAGCUCCAUGGUGCGGACACUAGUUAUUAUUUAUAUAGUUUCUCAGGGAGCAUAUUAACAUUUUUAUAGCCCAUGAAAUACCUCUAUACGGAGGGAGUUGUUGGUGUCAGAAGAGCAGGGAGAGCUGGGAGGAUGGAGAAGUAGGCCAGUAAAAGCCACUGCUUCCUUCAUGGAAACUAUUCAAUUAAUAAUAGUCAAAACUUUGAGUCAUCCUGCACUGCAUUAAGUGGGUAAACUUUGAGUCACUUCACUCUGUUUUAAAUGGAAAAUCUUUUACCUUCCUUAAUUUGUUUUACCAUAGCCAAGUGUCCUUCACUUUGUCCUUAGAGGGUCACUCUCAAUUUCUUCAUUCAAGAUGAAUUAAUUUUUAGUUCAGCCUCAGUUGUUUGUAAUCUUUUUCUCCAGAUCUUGAGAACAAUGUUUCCUUCCCUACCCAUUUUGUCUCAUGCACUUUGGGAAAGUUUCCUUUGCUCUCUUUCUAGCAUGUGUUAAUUUUUUCUCUGUAGUGACAUUGUUUAUUUCCAAUUAAUUGGAUUCAGUCUUCAGACUGAAGCUGAUGAACAAUGCUUAACAUCCAGAGGAUGGAAAUAUUAUUGGCUAAAUUCAAUUCUGCCCCAACUUGUGCUCAUCCAGUUUGAUCCCUGGUGCAGCUUUCUUAGCUACAUUGACUUAUGUCCCCUGAUACUAUAGCCCCAUUGAUCAUGGCAGCACUUAGGACUUGCUGGGAUACAGGACUGCCCCUCCAGUGCUGAUCCCCCAUUAAAAUACCCUGAAGCUCUCUGAGUUAGGGACACGAAAUGAUCAGAGAUGACUCUUUGCUGUGUUUUGCUAGUGUUGUUCCACUGGUCGGAAGGAGGAGGCAUGGUCCUUCACUGCUGUCCCUAUCUGUCAUCAAUAAUGGUGCAAAGGCUUGGGAGAGCCAUGGUCAGUCUGACUGCUCUGUCCUGGAUGCACACCUGGUUCACAUGCUCUGGUAUUCCUUUGAAAAUCUGAAAUAAAAAGGAAGAGCUGUCAGCGGUGCUGCCCUGUCCCACCCUGUGCUACCAGCUGGUCUCUAUGCCAUGGUUUGCUUUGCUCUCACUUCCUACCUAGGAAGUUUCAGAGCUAAAAAUGGUCUCCUAUGAUGAAUGAACACGAUGAAUAAUUACAGCUGAGCUGUUGACACACGUAGAGAUAAGAGUUUGUUGGGAUGUUCAUUAUAAACCGCUUGACUGCAGCUCAACAUAUACAAGGCCGUAACCUGCAGUAAUACUAUUUUAGAUAGAAAGAUUAAUUUAUUUUGCUGUUUCUUAGAGGAGCAGAGAUGAAAAGCAAAUUUCUUCAGUUUGCUCCUGCGAUAUAAGAAGCUUUCUGCUGCAUUCAGUGGGACUUCUCCAUAAAUUUUAAAGCUAAGUCUCAGCUCGUAUGCAAAAUUCCUCCCUUUCCGAUCAGCUUCAUUAGAGAUGCAGACCUUUCAAAGGCAGUGGUUGUGGUGUUGAAGAUCCCCUUGGUAUCAAGGAGGAAGAUGCUGCCCUGGGAAAUAUUUCCGCACAGAAGGCAUGAGGCUCAGCAGGUACCAUACUUUGGGUCCGUGAGAUUGGGACCUGAAGGCUUUUAUUGUGAGUUGACCCCAACUUUAUACCUAGCUCUGCAUCAGUUUUGGGGAUUCCAGUAAUCCUAGUAGGGUUAUAGCACCUACCAAGAGCCUCACCCAGUGGCCAUCUGCCCUCCAGCCCAGGGGACAGGAAGCAGUUCUUUCAGUAGUCCAUAAGCAUCACUCCUUAGGUUGUUGAGAGGAGGGUGUUGGAAAGCAAGGUGGUUUUGGGGACUACUAGCCCAGUUAUGAGCUUGAGUCUCAAAUCUGGUGUUACUGUGCAUACAUAGCGCAGCCUUCGCAUGCAGGCUCAGCCCCAAAGCAGCUCUGUCUGCUGUGUAAAGCUGAUCUAUAACAUGCCAGCUCUUGCUAGGGGAGGGAAGCCCUUUCCAGACGGAGUGUGAGGUGUUUCUCUCCAACAGAGGCUGAUUCUCAGUUAGGUGAGACGGCUGCUCGCUCAGGAGUUGCUGCUUUGCUGACGCCAGCCUUGGCCUGGCAGAGAGCUCUGCUUGCAGCUCCUUGGCUUUCACUGCAGUCCGCGUCAAGCAACACAAGCUGCGGCAGCACCAGCUCCUCCUGGCUCCCAGGCCAAACCGUUGCACGGAUCCAGGGAUUAAUGCAAAAGAUGGAGAGCCAGGAUUCUGGUGUAACCUCUUUGCCUGCAUGGCCGUGACAGGCAUCACAGAGAUGCUCACAUACCAUAGCAAAGUGGUGACACAAACAGCUGUGUUGACAGAGCAAUGGAGAAACAGAUUUCAGGCCAUCCUGGCGCUGCUCUCCUGGAUAUGUGCCAUCAGUCCAGGGGCACUCCAGGGCGGGGAGUGGCUCUCAUAAGAAUACAUCCUUACCACGUGCUCUCAGCAGAUGUUACAUCGGCUUAAAAAAACUCAUAAACUCUGGUGACAUAUAUUUUAUACACUAUAAACUUCUGCUUUUUCCCUU